UAAAGAAACCAAUCCCAUUUAAAAUGGUCAAGGUAAUCACUCCUAACACUCAAACACUCCACUCAAACAAAGGCCCACAAGGACAGACAUUGUCAUGCAGAAAACUAGCCAUUGGAGACAAUUGAUUUGGUCCAUAUCAUGGCAUUGGGCCUGACUCAGCUGGAGUUAGUGCUGGCCUUGCUGUUUCCACUCGACCCGAGGAGAUCAAUAAGCCAUGCUACAUUUAGGAGAGCCCUGGACCAUGUCUUCAGCAGGCCUUUCUGAGAGCAGGGUAAGUCGGAUGCACAUUGGGGUAUUUGAUGAAGGCCCGGUGGUCUAUAACACGCAUGUUUGCUGAUCUACAAAGGCCUGAGAUGGAUAAUGACACAAGUUUCCUCACCUCUCGAGAGAAUGCACUUUGUCUAAAUGCAAAGCGAAUGAAGAAACCCAUAAAAUGAUGCUGGAAAAUAAAGGGCUUUACAAACAUUUACAGUGUGAAAGAAAGACACAUAAUCAUUUGCUGCUGUGAGAUAACGGCCCGUCUUUGUUCUGUUUCCCUUUGCCUCUCUGUUUACAAGACAUUCGGCUAUAAAGUAGCAUGUAGUGAAUGAAGCCGGGAACAUAAAGGCAGAACUGCCCAUACGUUUGCUGCGCUGCACUGAGAGACUACACAAGAGACCAGCCUUUGAAUAUCUUACAAUUAGCGGUGGCCUAGGGGCAAUAAAUUUUCAUUUGGGGUCAAGACUGGUCCACCAACCCCCAACAUAUUUCUUUAUCUUUUCACGGACGCUAAAAAACAGCUGUUUUGGAGCUGUAGGAGAUAAUUCAAGAGGGGUUUUUGUCUACUGGGGCUCGCUGAGGGACAAUGGAGGCCUAUCGAUUGGAGGAGCUUGACAUCACGGCCGCUUGUCAGCUGAAUAAAAAGACCAUUAUUUCUGCGGCCACUGUGAGAAUUACUGGCAGAACUUCCUCCUCACCCGGCCUGUUUUCCCCCUCAGCUUUCUCUUGUAAUCAUCACAAUCUCCUCCACACUAAGGCUGAGUCUUUCUGAAACAAUAGCGCUGGGAAAUAAUGGGCCUGAGGAGGCAGUUGAUGGGAAGAGGGAAGAAAGGGAAAAGACGGGAGUGAUAAACGAACGGUGACCCGGUCAAAGGUCAGGCUGUGAUCUUUUCGGAGGAAUGUUCCUGUUUUACAUUUGGUUCAAAUGUUGCCCGUGAAGCUUUCAAUGUUCUCCAUGAUGUGACCAAAUACAAGUGGAGAAUGAAGGAAUUUUUAUUUGUGUGUCAGAUUGUAAAAUAUUGCUCUGUGACAAUUUAGCACUAUGAAGAUACAUCUGCAGACACUGGGGAUAAGGCUUUUCUUUUUAAACUCGGCUGUGAAAUCAUCUGAUAUCUGAACCGAGAUGACAAAACGGUGAGAUGUCUCAACAAUGUCCUGACUUGUCUUUUCUUUAAGUUUCACCAGAGUAAAGCAAAGCACCAUUUACUUUAAAAGAUCUACCUGGUUCUUUCAUAACUGUGCAGUCAUGUGCAAUAUCUUUGUACAUAUUUAUAAUGCAUAGUGCAUGAAAUGCGAAACUCGACUCAAAAUUCACCUUAGAGUAGGAACUAUAGAUUCAUUGUUGCUUAUCAGCAUGCAUAUUACUAGCAUAGUAUUGGCAAAGUAUUAGUACUUAUAAAGCACAUAUUAAUGUAUGGACAUAUUCUGAAUCCCUUAACCCCACCAAAUACCUAAACAUAAUUUAAA
ensembl:lncRNA